GAUGAACGCUGGCGGCGUGCCUAACACAUGCAAGUCGAGCGAACAGACGAGGAGCUUUCUCCCCUGACGUUAGCGGCGGACGGGUGAGUAACACGUGGAUAACCUACCUAUAAGACUGGGAUAAUAUCGGGAAACCGGAGCUAAUACCGGAUAAUAUAUCGAACCGGAUGGUUCAAUAGUGAAAGACGGUUUUGCUGUCACUUAUAGAUGACUCCGCGCCGCAUUAGCUAGUUGGUAAGGUAACGGCUUACCAACGCUACGAUGCGUAGCCGACCUGAGAGGGUGAUCGGCCACACUGGAACUGAGACACGGUCCAGACUCCUACGGGAGGCAGCAGUAGGGAAUCUUCCGCAAUGGGCGAAAGCUUGACGGAGCAACACCGCGUGAGUGAUGAAGGUCUUCGGAUCGUAGAGCUCUGUUAUUAGGAAAGAACAAAUGUGUAAGUAACUAUGCACGUCUUGACGGUACCUAAAGAAUAAGCCACGGCUAACUACGUG
rnacentral:rRNA from 1 species